rnacentral:rRNA from 1 species
ACACGCAUGACACACUGCAUAUCAAUAAGCGGAGGAAAAGAAACUAACAAGGAUUCCCCUAGUAACGGCGAGUGAAGCGGGAAGAGCUCAAAUUUGAAAUCUUCAAGGGUUUACCUUUACGAAUUGUAGUUUAAAGAAGUGUUUUCUGUUGGAGUCUUGGUAAAAGUUCUUUGGAAUAGGACAUCAUAGAGGGUGAGAAUCCCGUAUUUGACCAUUAUUUCAACUUUGUGAUACACUUUCAAAGAGUCGGAUUGUUUGGGAAUGCAGUCCAAAAUGGGUGGUAAAUUUCAUCUAAAGCUAAAUAUUGGCGAGAGACCGAUAGCGAACAAGUACCGUGAGGGAAAGAUGAAAAGAACUUUGAAGAGAGAGUUAGACAGUACGUGAAAUUGUCAAAAGGGAAGCGUUUGACACCAGUGUUGUUUUCUCGAAAAUCAAUUAAAAAUGGCGGGAUUUUGUGUUGUAUUGACUUUAUCAGCUUUCUGCACUUUUUUCCUGUCUUUUUUAAUGCACUUUUCGUUUAACAAGUCAACAUCAAUUUCUUUUGUUGUAAAAGGGUCAUUGGAAGGUGGCUUUCUUUUCGGAGAAAGUGUUUAUAGCCUUUGGCCUCUGCAAUCGGAGAGAUUGAGGUCUGCAGCGUAGAUCCUUCGGGGUUAGAUGCAUUUGUGCUAAGCUAUAGCCUUUCAUAGACAACUUGUUGACUAUGAUCAGUCAUGUAGCUUACUCGCUUAUGUCAUUUUACCUACGCUUAGGAUGUUGAGCGCAUGUCUCUCCUCU